rnacentral:rRNA from 1 species
UACGGGAGUGGCAAGCGUUAUCCGGAAUUAUUGGGCGUAAAGCGUCCGCAGGCGGCUUUGAAAGUCUGCUGUCAAAACGUGGAGCUCAACUCCAUUUCGGCAGUGGAAACUACAAGGCUUGAGUGUGGUAGGGGCAGAGGGAAUUCCCGGUGUAGCGGUGAAAUGCGCAGAUAUCGGGAAGAACACCAGUGGCGAAGGCGCUCUGCUGGGCCAUAACUGACGCUCAUGGACGAAAGCCAGGGGAGCGAAAGGGAUUAGAUACCCCUGUAGUCCUGGCCGUAAACGAUGAACACUAGGUGUCGGGGGAAUCGACCCCCUCGGUGUCGUAGCCAACGCGUUAAGUGUUCCGCCUGGGGAGUACGCACGCAAGUGUGAAACUCAAAGGAAUUGACGGGGGCCCGCACAAGCGGUGGAGUAUGUGGUUUAAUUCGAUGCAACGCGAAGAACCUUACCAGGGCUUGACAUCCUGCGAACCCCUGAGAAAUCGGGGGGUGCCUUCGGGAACGCAGAGACAGGUGGUGCAUGGCUGUCGUCAGCUCGUGUCGUGAGAUGUUGGGUUAAGUCCCGCAACGAGCGCAACCCACGUCUUUAGUUGCCAGCAUUCAGUUGGGCACUCUAGAGAGACCGCCGGUGAUAAACCGGAGGAAGGUGUGGAUGACGUCAAGUCAUCAUGCCCCUUACGUCCUGGGCUACACACGUACUACAAUGCUACGGACAAAGGGCAGCGAGCUCGCGAGAGUAAGCAAAUCCCAUAAACCGUGGCUCAGUUCAGAUCGUAGGCUGCAACUCGCCUACGUGAAGGAGGAAUCGCUAGUAAUCGCAGGUCAGCAUACUGCGGUGAAUACGUUCCCGGGCCU